GACGAACGCUGGCGGCGUGCUUAACACAUGCAAGUCGAACGGUAAGGCCCUUCGGGGUACACGAGUGGCGAACGGGUGAGUAACACGUGGGUGAUCUGCCCUGCACUUCGGGAUAAGCCUGGGAAACUGGGUCUACUACCGGAUAGGACCACUGCCUGCAGGGGGGGUGGUGGAAAGCUUUUGCGGUGUGGGAUGGGCCCGCGGCCUAUCAGCUUGUUGGUGGGGUGAUGGCCUACCAAGGCGACGACGGGUAGCCGGCCUGAGAGGGUGAGCGGCCCCACUGGGACUGAGAUACGGCCCAGACUCCUACGGGAGGCAGCGGUGGGGAAUAUUGCACAAUGGGCGCAAGCCUGAUGCAGCGACGCCGCGUGAGGGAUGACGGCCUUCGGGUUAUAAACCUCUUUCAGCACCGACGAAGCGCAAGUGACGGUAGGUGCAGAAGAAGGACCGGCCAACUACGUGCCAGCAGCCGCCGUAA
rnacentral:rRNA from 1 species